rnacentral:rRNA from 1 species
GACGAACGCUGGCGGCGUGCCUAACACAUGCAAGUCGAGCGAGUGGAUCUCCUUCGGGAGUGAAGCUAGCGGCGGACGGGUGAGUAACACGUGGGCAACCUGCCUCAUAGAGGGGAAUAGUCUUUCGAAAGGAAGAUUAAUACCGCAUAAGAUUGUAGCUUCGCAUGAAGUAGCAAUUAAAGGAGCAAUCCGCUAUGAGAUGGGCCCGCGGCGCAUUAGCUAGUUGGUGAGGUAACGGCUCACCAAGGCGACGAUGCGUAGCCGACCUGAGAGGGUGAUCGGCCACAUUGGGACUGAGACACGGCCCAGACUCCUACGGGAGGCAGCAGUGGGGAAUAUUGCACAAUGGGGGAAACCCUGAUGCAGCAACGCCGCGUGAGUGAUGACGGCCUUCGGGUUGUAAAGCUCUGUCUUCAGGGACGAUAAUGACGGUACCUGAGGAGGAAGCCACGGCUAACUACGUGCCAGCCGCCGCAGUAACAC